rnacentral:rRNA from 1 species
CCAAUAGCGUAUAUUAAAGUUGUUGCAGUUAAAAAGCUCGUAGUUGAAUUUCGGGAUCAAUACGUCGGUCGUGCCUCGGUACGUACUGGCGUUACUGGUUCCUACCUUCUGAGGAACCGUCAUGUCAUUAAUUUGGUGUGGUGGGAAAUCAGGACUGUUACUUUGAAAAAAUUAGAGUGUUUAAAGCAGGCUCGCGCUUGAAUACAUUAGCAUGGAAUAAUGAAAUAGGACGUUCGAUCCUAUUUUGUUGGUUUCUAGGAUUGACGUAAUGAUUAAUAGGGAUAGUUGGGGGCAUUAGUAUUCAAUUGUCAGAGGUGAAAUUCUUGGAUUUAUUGAAGACUAACUACUGCGAAAGCAUUUGCCAAGGAUGUUUUCAUUAAUCAAGAACGAAAGUUAGGGGAUCGAAGACGAUCAGAUACCGUCGUAGUCUUAACCAUAAACUAUGCCGACUAGGGAUCGGAUGAUGUUAUUUUUAAUGACUCAUUCGGCGCCUUACG